GACUACCAGGGUAUCUAAGCCUGUUUGCUCCCCACGCUUUCGUGCAUGAGCGUCAGUACAGGUCCAGGGGAUUGCCUUCGCCAUCGGUGUUCCUCCGCAUAUCUACGCAUUUCACUGCUACACGCGGAAUUCCAUCCCCCUCUACCGUACUCUAGCUAUACAGUCACAAAUGCAGGUCCCAGGUUGAGCCCGGGGAUUUCACAUCUGUCUUAUAUAACCGCCUGCGCACGCUUUACGCCCAGUAAUUCCGAUUAACGCUUGCACCCUACGUAUUACCGCGGCUGCUGGCACGUAGUUAGCCGGUGCUUAUUCUUACAGUACCGUCAUGAGCCUCUAGUGUUAUUAAAGACUUUUUCGUUCUGUACAAAAGCAGUUUACAACCCGAAGGCCUUCGUCCUGCACGCGGCAUUGCUGGAUCAGACUUUCGUCCAUUGUCCAAAAUUCCCCACUGCUGCCCCCCGUAGG
rnacentral:rRNA from 1 species